rnacentral:rRNA from 1 species
UAGAUCCUGAAACCGCAUGCAUACAAACAGUGGGAGCCUCCUUGUGGGGUGACUGCGUACCUUUUGUAUAAUGGGUCAGCGACUUACGUUGUGUUGCGAGCUUAACCGAAUAGGGGAGGCGUAGCGAAAGCGAGUCCGAAUAGAGCGUUUAGUAGCACGGCGUAGACCCGAAACCGGAUGAUCUAUCCAUGGCCAGGAUGAAGGUGCCGUAACAGGUACUGGAGGUCCGAACCCACUAAUUUUGAAAAAUUAGGGGAUGAGCUGUGGAUAGGGGUGAAAGGCUAAACAAAUCCGGAAAUAGCUGGUUCUCCCCGAAAACUAUUUAGGUAGUGCGUCAUGUAUCACUUGCGGGGGUAAAGCACUGUUAUGGCUAGGGGGUCAUCGCGCCUUACCAAACCAUGGCAAACUCUGAAUACCGCAAAGUGCGAGCAUGGCAGACAGACAGUGGGUGCUAACGUCCAUUGUCAAGAGGGAAACAACCCAGACCGCCAGCUAAGGUCCCCAAGACACAGUUAAGUGGGAAACGAAGUGGGAAGGCAUAGACAGCUAGGAGGUUGGCUUAGAAGCAGCCAUCCUUUAAAGAAAGCGUAAUAGCUCACUAGUCGAGUCGUCCUGCGCGGAAGAUGUAACGGGGCUCAAACUGUGCUCCGAAGCUGCGGAUAUCGAAAGAUAUGGUAGGGGAGCGUUCUGUAGGUCUGUGAAGGUGUCUUGUAAAGGAUGCUGGAGAUAUCAGAAGUGCGAAUGCUGACAUGAGUAGCGAUAAAGGGCGUGAAAAGCGCCCUCGCCGAAAGCCCAAGGUUUCCUACGCAACGUUCAUCGGCGUAGGGUGAGUCGGCUCCUAAGGCGAGGCAGAAAUGCGUAGUCGAUGGGAAACAGGUCAAUAUUCCUGUACCGAUUCUAGAUGCGAUGUGGGGACGGAGAAGGUUAGGUCAGCCGGGUGUUGGAUGUCCCGGUUUAAGCGUGUAGGCGUGCCCCUUAGGCAAAUCCGGGGGGCUGAGCUGAGGCGUGAUGACGAGGAACCACGGUUCCGAAGUGAUUGAUACCAAGCUUCCAGGAAAAGCCACUAAGCUUCAGUCUAGAGUUGACCGUACCGCAAACCGACACAGGUGGGCAGGAUGAAAAUUCUAAGGCGCUUGAGAGAACUCAGGAGAAGGAACUCGGCAAAUUAACACCGUAACUUCGGGAGAAGGUGUGCCCCGGUAGCGUGUAGAGACUUGCUCUCGAAGCGCGAUGGGGUUGCAGUGAAAUGGUGGCUGCGACUGUUUAAUAAAAACACAGCACUCUGCAAACACGAAGGUGGACGUAUAGGGUGUGACGCCUGCCCGGUGCCGGAAGGUUAAGUGAUGGGGUGCAAGCUCUUGAUCGAAGCCCCGGUAAACGGCGGCCGUAACAAUAACGGUCCUAAGGUAGCGAAAUUCCUUGUCGGGUAAGUUCCGACCUGCACGAAUGGCGUAACGAUGGCCACACUGUCUCCUCCUGGGACUCAGCGAAGUUGAAAUGUUUGUGAAGAUGCAAUCUACCCGCGGCUAGACGGAAAGACCCCAUGAACCUUUACUGUAGCUU